rnacentral:rRNA from 1 species
AGGACGAACGCUGGCGGCGUGCUUAACACAUGCAAGUCGAACGGAAAGGCCCGCUUGCGGGUACUCGAGUGGCGAACGGGUGAGUAACACGUGGGCAACCUGCCCUCAGCUCUGGGAUAACUCCGGGAAACCGGUGCUAAUACUGGAUAUCGACUUCUGCCUCGCAUGGGGUGUUGUUGAAAGUUUUUCGGCUGGGGAUGGGCCCGCGGCCUAUCAGCUUGUUGGUGGGGUGAUGGCCUACCAAGGCGACGACGGGUAGCCGGCCUGAGAGGGCGACCGGCCACACUGGGACUGAGACACGGCCCAGACUCCUACGGGAGGCAGCAGUGGGGAAUAUUGCGCAAUGGGCGGAAGCCUGACGCAGCGACGCCGCGUGAGGGAUGACGGCCUUCGGGUUGUAAACCUCUUCAGCAGGGACGAAGCGAAGUGACGGUACCUGCAGAAGAAGCACCGGCCAACUACGUGCCAGCAGCCGCGGUAA